rnacentral:rRNA from 1 species
AUGCUUCGCCUUCGCCUCCAUCCUUGCCCACGCUUCUCUCCGCCGGGAUCCCACCCCGCCUUCCCUCGCCAGUUGGCCGCCUCUCCGCUCCCAGAGCUCCCCUUCCAAUCCACCGUCACCGCGCUCAGAACCCGAGCCCCUCCGCUCCAGGCCGCCGUCAGCCGAGCAGCCUCCGGAGAGGAGCAACGGGGCGUUUAUGAGGACGAAGAAGACGCGGACCUGGACAAUGCACUCACCAAGACACGGCAGCUCGUCGAGUGCGCCAUGUUUGCAUCUGUUGCUGGUCUCGCGUACUUCCUCAGCAACUCCCUCGCCAUCGAGAAUUACUUCAGCUGCUUUUUCCAAUUGCCGAUAGUCAUCUCCUCCUUGAGAUGGGGAUUAGAAGCUGGUAGGAAGACCAUGGUGGCUACUGUUUUACUGCUCUUCACAUUGUCUGGCCCUGUCAAAGCAUCGACUUAUCUGCUUAUGCACGGGGUAGUUGGUCUAGCCAUGGGUACUAUGUGGAGGUUGGAGACCGAUUGGAUUGCUUCCAUCAUAAUCUGCUCAAUUAUCCGUGCGGUGGGAGCUUGUGGAUAUGUGUUAGUGUCAUCGUUCCUGAUACGAGAAAAUAUUCUUCAAUUGAUAACCGUUAACGUGCAUGCCUCCUUAACGUACAUUCUGGCAGCGGCUGGUGUGAACGCAAUUCCAUCCAUGGAUGCAAUAUAUGUAAUCUUUGGGACACUGCUUCUACUUAAUUGUGGAUUCUUUGUCUUCAUACUGCACAUAAUCUACACAAUCUUCCUGACCAAGCUUGGAAUCAAGCCUUCGCUGAGACCUCCACGAUGGCUGGGCAAAACAACUUUUAGUUGA